CCUACGGGUGGCAGCAGUGGGGAAUAUUGGACAAUGGGGGCAACCCUGAUCCAGCCAUGCCGCGUGUGUGAAGAAGGCCCUCGGGUUGUAAAGCACUUUCAGUGAGGAAGAACGCCUGGUGGUUAAUACCCAUCAGGAAAGACAUCACUCACAGAAGAAGCACCGGCUAACUCCGUGCCAGCAGCCGCGGUAAUACGGAGGGUGCGAGCGUUAAUCGGCAUUACUGGGCGUAAAGCGCGCGUAGGUGGCUUGAUAAGCCGGUUGUGAAAGCCCCGGGCUCAACCUGGGAACGGCAUCCGGAACUGUCAAGCUAGAGUGCAGGAGAGGAAGGUAGAAUUCCCGGUGUAGCGGUGAAAUGCGUAGAGAUCGGGAGGAAUACCAGUGGCGAAGGCGGCCUUCUGGACUGACACUGACACUGAGGUGCGAAAGCGUGGGUAGCAAACAGGAUUAGAUACCCUUGUAGUC
rnacentral:rRNA from 1 species